rnacentral:rRNA from 1 species
GCUAUGUUCGUGCCAGCGGGCGGGGUUAUAGUGAAGGUAGUGGGGGUAGUCGGAUUUUGUGUGGGUAAAGGGGAAGUAGGCCUGAGAUUAGGCGUGUUGUGAAAUGUAGAUGCUCAACAUGUGCACUGCGGCGCGAACUGGUUUCCUUGAGUACGCACAAAGUGGGCGGAAUUCGUGGUGUAGCGGUGAAAUGCUUAGAUAUCACGAAGAACUCCGAUUGCGAAGGCAGCUCACUGGAGCGCAACUGACGCUGAAGCUCGAAAGUGCGGGUAUCGAACAGGAUUAGAUACCCUAGUAGUC